rnacentral:rRNA from 1 species
UACAGAGGGGGCAAGCGUUGUUCGGAAUUACUGGGCGUAAAGGGCGCGUAGGCGGCCUGCUAAGUCGAACGUGAAAUCCCUGGGCUCAACCCAGGAACUGCGUCCGAUACUGGUUGGCUUGAAUCCGGGAGAGGGAUGUGGAAUUCCAGGUGUAGCGGUGAAAUGCGUAGAUAUCGAGAGGAACACCUGCGGCGAAGGCGGGUUGCUGGGCUGACACUGACGCUGAUGAGCGAAAGCCAGGGGAGCAAACGGG